UGUGUAAGGCAAGACAAUCACCAUUUGGAUCCCACGCUGUAGUACCGUGAAAACUAGAAGGUGGCAGAGUCACCUACAUAGCUAUGUUCGGAUGUUUUGUGCUUCUUCGCAUAUCAACAGUUGAACAGGUAUGGUAAAAUUUUUAGCUAACUUGUCUAAAUCGUGUUUCUUAGGGUAUCAACAAGUUAGAAUUUUAUAGUAUGUGCUUACUCCUUGUAACUUUACCAACUGAUACGUAACGUUAGCUAAAUCGUGUUUCUUUGUGUAACGUUAUCCACAUCAUGUGGAAAAUGUUACUCUUGACAGUCAAUUUAGAUAGACUAGCUAAACCUGGACUUGUGACAAUUCCGUUACUAAGGUGUCUUUGUGUAUCCACAUUGUUCUUAGCUAGCCUGUGUGUGUCUUAUGCUGCCGGUUUUUUAAACCUCUUUUCAAAACAUUGCUUUCAGGUGAUGACGUUUUCUGUAGUUUUGUUCCCGGAGGAGGAUGACUGUGUGGCAGCAAUUCCACGUCUGUGGCUCAAAGGAGGACUUGAGGACGACAAGUUUGCCAGAACCUGCUCAGCUGUCCCUUAUAAGCUCAUCAAGCAUGCAGACACGAGAGACCGGACAUGUGAAUCGCCAGAGGAGCGAAAAUUCGUUCCAGUGUGGGCCCCUACCACCCCAAGGACACACAUCUACACCACAAAACUCUGUGGAUUGCAGCCCUGGAGCACAGUAGUCCAGCGCACCAGAGAGGUACUCCACGCCACCAUGUAAAGGAUGGCUACAUAGGCACGAAGGCAGAGGUAGGGGGAGGUUUUAGCUCUGCACAUGAAGAACAUUUGGAGAAGAUCAAGUAGCUGACUGAAGAAAAGGUUGAGCUGAGGGCACAGCUGGCUCUACAAUCAGCUUCUGAUAAACGUCUGACUGAAAAGAAUGUCAAGCCGAGGGCACAGCUGGCUCUACAAUCAGGAGCUAUAAGGAAGAAUCCUUCCAACCAGGAUGCCACUGAUGAGGCUGUCCAGAACCAGGUCCCCAGGUACCAGAAAGGGGCAGCUGACCGUGCAGGUGGGAGAAGAUGUCGUGGCGGUACAAGGGACCUGCCGUGAAUAUGAAUGACAUCUCCAGCACAACCAAUAUUGCUGCUAAGCUGCAGUACUGUAUUUCUGUUUUUUUACUGCU
ensembl:lncRNA